UACGUAGGGGGGCAAGCGUUGUCCGGAAUCAUUGGGCGUAAAGAGCGCGUAGGCGGUCCGGUAAGUCGGUUGUGAAAGUCGGGGGCUCAACCCUCGGAGGCCGACCGAUACUGUCGGGCUAGAGUCCGGAAGAGGCGAGUGGAAUUCCUGGUGUAGCGGUGAAAUGCGCAGAUAUCAGGAGGAACACCAAUUGCGAAGGCAGCUCGCUGGGACGUUACUGACGCUGAGACGCGAAAGCGUGGGGAGCAAACAGG
rnacentral:rRNA from 1 species